rnacentral:rRNA from 1 species
UACGUAGGGUGCGAGCGUUUAAUCGGAAUUACUGGGCGUAAAGCGUGCGCAGGCGGUUUUGUAAGCCAGAUGUGAAAUCCCCGGGCUUAACCUGGGAAUGGCAUUUGGGGACUGCAAGGCUUGAGUGCGGCAGAGGGGGAUGGAAUUCCGCGUGUAGCAGUGAAAUGCGUAGAUAUUCGGAAGAACACCAGUGGCGAAGGCGGU